rnacentral:lncRNA from 1 species
GGGUAAUUACGACGGUCCGAAUUAAAAUUGCUUGAUUAAUAGAAGUGUUAACGUGGAAAAAAUGAAAGAAAAUGAUAAAAUAGGGGGAUAAAAAUAAACAAAUCAGAACAAAACACCUCUCUACCGCGCUCCUUCAAUCAACUUUCUGAUAAGUGAAUUUAAGUUGAUACUAGAGGAAUUUUCCAGAUUAUUAACAAAGGAGACAACUGCACAAAAAUGGUAGAAUUACAAACUACUCUCUUCGGCCCCAAAGAUUAGUUAGUUUGACAAACUAAAAUCUGUUUUACAAAAUAUUUUGGGGGAAUUAGAAGUCGAAACAAGCAUGAAGAGUAUUGAAAGCAUAUGUUUGAGUUGCAGAAAAAAAUCACAAGACACUAAACAUGAAAAAUUUUAGAUAUCAAAUUGCAAACAGUAACACUAGAAACAACCCAAAGCUGCUGAUACCUUUUGCAAGCCAGUUCAAGAGACUAAACAUAAAAAAUUUAGAUAUCAAAUAGCAAACAGUAACACUAGAAACAGCCAAAGCUGCUGAUACCUUUUGCAAGCCAGUAAAAGUGUCAACUCUAUUUGUUACGCUUCUUAGCC